UGUCUCGCUUUCUCAUGGGCGGGCCAAAUUCUCUGGGCAGGCAAAGCAGAGAAAGGGGAGGUAACCUUCCUCCUUAUGACCUCAUAAGGAGGAGAUUCCAGAUCGGCCCAUCUGAGCUUUAAUUUUCUCAAAGGCAGAGCAGGAUACCCAGAGCUUGGUUUACAUCUAUUGCCAUUUCUAGCCACUGUGGGACCAUAGGCAGGCUAGGGGAACUCACAUUAAUGUUAAAAAACCGCAUGAAGUGAAAUUUUAAUGCCAUGGGACUUUUAAACAGAAAAACUAAAAGUACAAUU